AUAUUAUACGAGACUUUUGGUUCCGAAAAAUAUUUUAGGGGACUUUCAGACAUUGAUUACACCUUGACCAAUUUUGACCCCAGCACUUGCCCCAAGCUCGAGGCCGCCGUCUCCUUCUCCCACCGCGUCAAAUCCUCUAUCCGUCUUGUUUCUUCCUCGCAUACGGAGAAGUGAGGUUCGGCCAUGUUGUGUUGGCUUCUGUCUCAUGCGACCUCCGACCUCUUCGGCCUUUUUGAUUCCUCUUUUGUGUUUGUGAUAGUGUUCUCUGGUUAAAGGUCUGACCUUUUCUUUUUGAAGGAGAAGAAUCGUCUCCUCUGGUCUCAAAACCCUAGCCACGGAUGUCGCCGCUGCUUCUCCUCGUCGAUCGAUACACACCACAAAGAGCUUCGUAGUGGAGGUAGAAGAAGAGAAUGAGAUUCUUGACUCUGAGAUUAUUGUAAUUAUUCAGUGAAGCAGGGGGAAGAGAUCUUGGAACCUUCAAGAGUUGUCUUCAGGUUUUGCUCAGCUGUUAAAUCUUGCUGACACUCGAAAAAAGGGUGGUACCAGCAUUGAAGAUCUUGCUGAGUAGUUCCUGACAUGAUUACAAAAGAAGAGGAGCGGCCAAGACAAGGAAACAAGUUCAAAGUCUGCUAGCAGACAUUAGAUCUUUCAUGUGUCUCUAUAUUGUAAUUUGAUUUCGUAUUGUUUUUCGAUUAGCCAUUUAUGUGGCAAGACUUUCUGGCUAAGUCCAUCCAACCAUGUGUAAUUGCUUCCUCCCUAGUUGGAGUUUGUUUUUAAUUUCUAUAAAAUUAUGGUCUGA